GAGGGACAGCCAGUGGGGUCUGGAGUUCUGCUCCCAGGUCGAAGGUUAAUCUCUACUCGCUUUUGCUCCGUCCGCCUGCCACCGUUUUGAAGAUAAAACACCUUAAAACCCCUCGCCUCCAAAUUAUAGCCUCUUCAAUUUAUCAGAGCAUCGUUCAAUGGCAUUGGCCAUCUCAAAUUUAUUGCAAUGCCCUAAUGUGCAGCUUUCCCGCAAGAAUUUUCAGCCCAAAGUCUCUAAGACAUCAUUAUCUUCUGUCAGGUUCAUAAAAAUAAAUGGACGGAUGGGCCAUAGGGUUAUCUGCGCUGCUGCAUCUGCAGCAGGGAGUUCUAAUCCGGACAGUAACUUAAAUCCAUAUGAGGUCCUAGGUGUUAGCCCUAUUGAGGGAUUUGACAUGAUCAAGGCAGCAUAUACCAAAAAACGAAAGGAGGCUGAGAGGAUUGGCGAUGAAGAAACUGCUGCCAGAGUGGAAAAGGCAUAUGACAAAGUGAUGAUGGCACAAUUAACUAAUCGAAAGAAGGGUGUGACUUUUGGUUCGUUCAAGGUUUCUAAGGACAUAAAGUAUGCUGACAAGCAGCCAAUUGUACCUUGGGGGCCGAGGUUUUCCAAAUCGAGUAAAAAUGAUAUGCGUAUCAACCUUGCGAUAUCUGCUGUUUUUACAGCUUGGGUCCUUAUCAAGCGUAAUGCAGAAUAUAAACCUUUGCAGUUUUUGGCAUUUGCUUUUGUUUAUCGGCUUUUUGAGAAGUUAAAAUCCUUUGAACCACCUGUAAACCCCACAUAUAAUGAAGAUGGUGAGGAUACAGGAGAAGGGCUGCGAAUGGGAAAACGACUACUCCGAUCACUGGCUUUGGUUUUUGGCUGCAUAGCUGUUUCGUCUUUGGCAUACACUGGUCUUUUGAACGUCAUCGAGUUCUCAGGUGGCUACAUACCUGCUUUGCUUUACAACAGUCAGCUUGAAAGCUGUUGCCAACCCAGGCGCAGUCAAUAAUAUGAUGGUAGUCUUGCCGUUUGACGUCCUCUGGGACUGGUUUCCUCUUGUCUUGUGUGGAGUUGAUAAUCACCACGUCAUCGGCAGUAAUGCUUUACAUCAUGGCGUCAUUUUAUAGAUAAAGGGAACUUCGCUGAACCUGAAGGCACCCCGCAGCGAGUCAUGGUCGAGAAUUAGUGCCGCCGUGUUCCUUUGUGUUCGCAGCGUUUCACUAUCAAAUUUUGUGAGCUGAGGUUGAGAUUCUGUAGAAAUGGAUGGUAUUAGCAAUAUUUCUACUACUGGUGUUUGAUGUUGUUCAUUUUCUUCGAUAACUCGUGUUGCCAGUUGCUCCCGAGGGCCCAAAACAAAAAACACACACGCACACACAAAAACCAUUUGUCCGUGCCCGUUGCCCCACACAAGAAUGGUAGGGUUGUUUAGAAGGAUGGUCUACGGUGUUGCACGCGCUUAUUCGAAAAACGGGUAGGUGUUUCAUUGUUUCAUUUCUGAUCCUCCGAAUUUGUCUUGAAAAGCGUUUGAUAAUUAGUUUAUAUUUAUAUAUUUACCACAGAGCCUUCAGCUUU